UUUUCUUUCUGGAGAUCUCUCUGUGGUGAAGCUUUCCCUUACAAACCUGGAAUCUUCAGAUAUGGUUGUUGUCAGUAUCUCCUCCAGAAGACGUAAUGUACGGUCUCUAUGCCCUGUGGAAUUCUGGAGAGUGCAUGCUUUCAUUGGAGUCUUCAGAAAGCACUCACAACAGGGAUGGAGUUGAUCCUGAGUGCCCUCUUGUCCCAGAAGAAUUGUGCCUCCUGGUACCAGACUCAUGCACAGUGUAUCUGUGCCUCUGUGCAAUUCUGCACCAGCAUGACUGACUUCCUUCUUUGGAAGCCCUGUGACAAAGCCAAGCCUCUUAAACUGCAGCCACUAAAGCGUUGUUUCCUUUUCUUUGUACUGUGUGGCACAUUUAUUUGGUAUCCCUUUGUUCAGUGCAACACAACAGUAAUUCCAGUUAAUAGCCUGUUUCUGAAAGCCAAAACUGUUACAAUUGGAUAAACUGAAAUCUGUUUGUUUUUGGAGAGACUGAUUUAAAGCUAAGCAUCUCUUUGCAGUCAUUAAGGAAAUACGUGACGUGUCCUUUGUUCAUCUUUUCACUUCACAGAGUAGAUAUUGAGGUACUAAACGUUUUCAUAAAUAUUUCCAGAAAACUUGUAUUUUUUUCCUCCUUUACAGUACCCCGUUCUUUUCCCCACUUUAUAAUAGAAGAAAAAUAUGCUUAAAUAGCAGUAUAAACAAUCAU
ensembl:lncRNA